rnacentral:rRNA from 1 species
AUUGAACGCUGGCGGCAGGCCUAACACAUGCAAGUCGAACGAGUGGCGGACGGGUGAGUAAUGUCUGGGAAACUGCCCGAUGGAGGGGGAUAACUACUGGAAACGGUAGCUAAUACCGCAUACCAUCGGAUGUGCCCAGAUGGGAUUAGCUAGUGGGUGGGGUAACGGCUAACCGAGGCGACGAUCCCUAGCUGGUCUGAGAGGAGGACCGUCCACACUGUAACGGAGACAGGGUCCAGACUCCUACGGGAGGCGGCAGUGGGGAUUAUUGCACAAUGGGCGCAAGCCUGAUGCAGCCAUGCCGCGUGUAUGAAGAAGGCCUGCGGGUUUUAAAGUACUUUCAGCGAGGAGGCGUUACUCGCAGAAGAAGCACCGGCUAACUCCGUGCCAGCAGCCGCGGUAAUAC